CUGCAGCACGCGCCUAACGGC
rnacentral:siRNA from 1 species